UUUUUGUCUGCAGAAGCAGAUCGAAGGCAAACACAACAAACAAUAUGUAGUGCUACCUUUAAAAGCUGAGAGAUCUGUCACAAUGAUUCAACCCCUUUUCUUUGCUUUUUAAUGAUGCUCUUAUACAUACAUACAUUCGGCCAUAGUCCUCCUAGUUGACUUGUCAUUGUAUAAAACACUCAAAAGAUGCUUUCCCUCCUAACAAUGCCAACUUUUCUGCAUGAAAGUGCUAAUUGAGUGAGAGCAUUAAGGUUUCUUAAUCAACAAAUGUUAUGGUCGAUAAUAUGGCUCCUUUACAAAAGGUCUAUGGCUCGUUGUAUUCACACUUUCAUCAGUUUUUUGUCCUUAAUGCUAUAGAAUAAUUCCCUGACAAUAAUCUCAUAUGUCCUACACUUCCUUCCCAUGAAAAGAAGAGAAAAAGUUGAGCCAGCGAAAGUGAUGGAAACAUACCUAUAUUAUUAUGCCAAAAAUGCAUGCAAAACCUUUUUGCCAUUUUGUUUUCAAUUAUACUUGCUUUUAGUAUGGGAAGGAAAGUACAAAAGAAACCCAAAGUAUUCCCAUAUUAAACUACUUCAUAUCCAAUAAUAAUAAAUUUAUAAAAAAAGGGUGUCAAAAUACUGUACAAUGCCCUUCUUCAGAAUUAGAUAGCCAAUGUAAGGACAAUAAACUCAAUUGAAG
rnacentral:sRNA from 1 species